AUGCACCAGAUACUAACCUGGCUGUCAUUGUCGCAGUUUUAACAUAGAACUGAGACAAUCCAUGAUUGUUGGGUCCAAGUGGUGCUAAAUCAAAAUUUGAAAAACCUUGAGCAUGUUAGCUUAGUGUGCAGAGGAACACUGAGUUAUAACUCAGAGGUACAGCA